rnacentral:rRNA from 1 species
UGGGGAAUUUUGGACAAUGGGCGCAAGCCUGAUCCAGCCAUUCCGCGUGCAGGAUGAAGGCCCUCGGGUUGUAAACUGCUUUUGUACGGAACGAAAAGGUUUUCUCUAAUACAGGAAGCUGAUGACGGUACCGUAAGAAUAAGCACCGGCUAACUACGUGCCAGCAGCCGCGGUAAUACGUAGGGUGCAAGCGUUAAUCGGAAUUACUGGGCGUAAAGCGUGCGCAGGCGGUUAUGUAAGACAGGUGUGAAAUCCCCGGGCUUAACCUGGGAACUGCAUUUGUGACUGCAUAGCUAGAGUACGGUAGAGGGGGAUGGAAUUCCGCGUGUAGCAGUGAAAUGCGUAGAUAUGCGGAGGAACGCCGAUGGCGAAGGCAAUCCCCUGGACCUGUACUGACGCUCAUGCACGAAAGCGUGGGGAGCAAACAGGAUUAGAUACCCUGGUAGUCCACGCCCUAAACGAUGUCAACUGGUUGUUGGGUCUUCACUGACUCAGUAACGAAGCUAACGCGUGAAGUUGACCNCNUGGAAGNGUACGGCCGCAAGGUUG